rnacentral:precursor_RNA from 15 species
AACCUGUUAUUUGACUUCCAGUUGCCCAACUGUGUAGAGGCAGGGAAAUAUGCUGUGUUUUCUCUUUCGGUAAAUCCUUGUUUCUCACAGUUGAGCCUCUUGGACUCAUCCUCUGUGCCCU